rfam:Virgibacillus sp. SK37, complete genome.
UGAGACAAGUAGAAGCACCCGCUUCUCACCUGAUCGACACCUUUUGGUAGUUGACUGGUUCUGAACUCUUUUAAUAUAUUAUUGGAGACGUGUGGGUGCAGUAUGUACCGACACUUUUUUAAUGAC